UACGUAGGGUGCGAGCGUUGUCCGGAAUUAUUGGGCGUAAAGAGCUCGUAGGCGGUUCGUCACGUCGGCUGUGAAAACCCGGGGCUCAACCCCGGGCCUGCAGUCGAUACGGGCAGACUAGAGUGCGGUAGGGGAGACUGGAAUUCCUGGUGUAGCGGUGAAAUGCGCAGAUAUCAGGAGGAACACCGGUGGCGAAGGCGGGUCUCUGGGCCGUAACUGACGCUGAGGAGCGAAAGCGUGGGGAGCGAACAGG
rnacentral:rRNA from 1 species